ensembl:snRNA U1 U1 spliceosomal RNA
AUAGAUAGAUUUCAAAGGUAUUUAAGAAUCACAUUUGCCUACUACUGUGAUUUCCCCAAAUGCAGGGAAAUCAACUGCAUAUUUUGUGGUAGUGGGGAACUAUGUUCAUGUUCUCCAC